rnacentral:tRNA from 1 species
UGCCCCUUAGCUCAGUCGGUUAGAGCACCUGACUGUUAAUCAGGGUGUCCUCGGUUCAAGUCCGAGAGGGGCAG